rnacentral:rRNA from 1 species
GAUGAACGCUCGCUGUGUGCCUAAUACAUGCAUGUUGAACGGGAUGUAGCAAUACAUUCAGUAGCGAAUGGGUGAGUAACAUGUACCUAACCUACCUUUAAGACUGGGAUAACUAUUGGAAACAAUAGCUAAUACCGGAUAUAGUUAUUUAUCGCAUGAUGAGUAAUAGAAAGGAGCUUCACAGCUUCACUUAAAAAUGGGGGUGCGGAACAUUAGUUAGUUGGUAGGGUAAUGGCCUACCAAGACGAUGAUGUUUAGCCGGGCCGAGAGGCUGUACGGCCACACUGGGACUGAGAUACGGCCCAGACUCCUACGAGAGGCAGCAGUAAGGAAUUUUCCACAAUGAGCGAAAGCUUGAUGGAGCGACACAGCGUGCAGGAUGAAGUUCUUCGGAAUGUAAACUGCUGUUAUAAGGGAGGAAAAAAUAGAAUAGGAAAUGAUUUUAUCUUGACGGUACCUUAUUAGAAAGCGACGGCAAACUAUGUGCCAGCAGCUGCGGUAAUACAUAGGUCGCAAGCGUUAUCCGGAAUUAUCGGGCGUAAAGCGUCCGUAGGUUUUUUGCUAAGUCUGGAGUUAAAUGCUGAAGCUCAACUUCAGUCCGCUUUGGAUACUGGCAAAAUAGAAUUAUAAAGAGGUUAGCGGAAUUCCUAGUGAAGCGGUGGAAUGCGUAGAUAUUAGGAAGAACACCAAUAGGCGAAGGCAGCUAACUGGUUAUAUAUUGACACUAAGGGACGAAAGCGUGGGGAGCAAACAGG